CCAAUAGCGUAUAUUAAAGUUGUUGCAGUUAAAAAGCUCGUAGUUGAAUUUCGGGAUCAAGUCGUCGGUCGUGCUUCGGUACGUACUGGCGUCAUUGAUUUCUCCCUUCUGACGAACCGUGAUGUCAUUAACUUGGUGUCAUGGGAAAUCAGGACUGUUACUUUGAAAAAAUUAGAGUGUUUAAAGCAGGCUCACGCUUGAAUACAUUAGCAUGGAAUAAUGAAAUAGGACGUUCGAUCCUAUUUUGUUGGUUUCUAGGAUCAACGUAAUGGUUAAUAGGGAUAGUUGGGGGCAUUAGUAUUCAAUUGUCAGAGGUGAAAGUCUUGGAUUUAUUGAAGACUAACUACUGCGAAAGCAUUUGCCAAGGAUGUUUUCAUUAAUCAAGAACGAAAGUUAGGGGAUCGAAGACGAUCAGAUACCGUCGUAGUCUUAACCAUAAACUAUGCCGACUAGGGAUCGGAUGAUGUUAAUUUUUUAAUGACUCAUUCGGCGCCUUACG
rnacentral:rRNA from 1 species